rnacentral:rRNA from 1 species
UACGGGGGAUGCAAGCGUUAUCCGGAAUUAUUGGGCGUAAAGCGCCUGUAGGUUGUUUACUAAGUUUGUUGUUAAAGCCUAGGGCUUAACCCUAGAAAAGCAAUGAAAACUGGUAGAUUAGAGUAUGGCAGGGGUAGAGGGAAUUUCUAGUGUAGCGGUGAAAUGCGUAGAUAUUAGAAAGAACACCAGUGGCGAAAGCGCUCUACUGGACCAUUACUGACACUCAGAGGCGAAAGCUAGGGUAGCAAAAGGGAUUAGAUACCCCUGUAGUCCUAGCCGUAAACGAUGGAUACUAGAUGUUGUGUUUAUUUCACAGUAUCGCAGCUAACGCGUUAAGUAUCCCGCCUGGGGAGUACGCUCGCAAGGGUG